rnacentral:rRNA from 1 species
CAAUAGCAUAUAUUAACGUUGUUGCAGUUGAAAAGCUCGUAGUUGAACUUUUGGUAGGAGCGACCUGGCCUUGGGCGCAUGCCCUUGUUUGCCGUGUGUCGUAUCUGGCCAUCCUUUUCUUCGUUUUUCGGAGGAAUCUUUUACUGUGAGUAAACUGGAGUGCUCAAAACAAGACGUUUGUUUGGUACAUUAAAGCAUGGAAUAAUAAGAUAGGACCUGGUUACUAUUUUGUUGGUUUGCAUAGCUAGGUAAUGAUUAACAGGGACAGUUGGGGGUAUUCGUAUUUAAUUGUCAGAGGUGAAAUUCUUGGAUUUAUGAAAGACGAACGACUGCGAAAGCAUUUGCCAAGGAUGUUUUCAUUGA